UGGGGAAUAUUGGGCAAUGGGGGAAACCCUGACCCAGCAACGCCGCGUGAAGGAUGAAGGCUUUCGGGUUGUAAACUUCUUUGAUCGGGGACGAAAUUGACGGUACCCGAAGAACAAGCCACGGCUAACUACGUGCCAGCAGCCGCGGUAAUACGUAGGUGGCAAGCGUUAUCCGGAAUUACUGGGCGUAAAGGGCGUGUAGGCGGGAAGACAAGUCAGGAGUGAAAUCCCAGGGCUUAACCCUGGAGCUGCUUCUGAAACUGUUUUUCUUGAGUAUCGGAGAGGAAAGUGGAAUUCCCAGUGUAGCGGUGAAAUGCGUAGAGAUUGGGAGGAACACCAGUGGCGAAGGCGGCUUUCUGGACGAUUACUGACGCUGAGGCGCGAAAGCGUGGGGAGCAAACAGG
rnacentral:rRNA from 1 species